AUAACUUACAACCAUCUCUAAUUAAUGUCAAUGAACUUGAUUCCUGAAAUGGAAACAGAAAAACAAUUAAUCAUCACUUUUCCCAGUAUUUAAAAAAAAAAAAAUUCUUAGAUUUGCUCAAUCUUAAACCAUAGGCCAUCAUCAUUUUGUUAUUCACUAAGCAAGGUUUAACUUGUAACCAAUGAUACCAUCUAUCUGUUCCUACACCCUUCCCUUUACAACAUGCUUGACUAUAACAAAACUGCCUAACUCAAGAAUGUGUGGAAUAUCAGUAGUGGUGUGUUUUCAUCCCAUUGCUGUUGAAUUCACUUUCUAUUAUUGUCUUUGGUAAUUUUGUCCAGCAUUGUGAAAUAGCAUCUUAAUUUCUCUUGAAACAAAGUAGAGCCUGUUUCUGCAGGUGGCAUAACAUCAGGAAGUAGAACCAUUGCUGUUCCAGUAAUCAGUUACACAUAAUUCCUUCAAUGAGCUGACGAACUUGUGCUUCAGUCCACGUCCUCCCUUGAGAAGUUUCAUCAUGGUUUUUCACAAUGACUUGUUUAAAAGAUGGACCUUGACCUUCUGCUCCACCUCCUUUAGCCCAACAGUCUUUCCUUAAGUGUCCAUGCUUUCCACAGUUGCUGCAAAUCUUCAACCACCUCUCUAUGUCCAUGUUGUAUUGAACUGUCGCCACUCCUCUUUGGUUUGGCUUGUUUCCUUCUUCCAGGUUUGACCUCAUAGCCAUCUCUAGACGGCCAGCCCAUUGCAUAAUUUGGUCAAAUGUUUCGCCUGGAUUGACUCCAAGUGAUAACGCUUGUUGGUAUUUAGAGCUAAACCCAUCCACAAGUGUGUCAGUGAAUUGUACAUCAUCUCUGUCAGGUUGUGACUCUUCCCUUUUAAUCACAGGUGAAGAAAAUUCAGGACCAAUCUUGUCAACUGUGGUCAUGUUGUCAUCCCUUGUCUCGUCACUCCAGUCAGAUCCAUAAUUAUGAGCCGGUGUACAUCUCAUCAUGUCUCUGCUUGGCUGGGCUGAUUUAGAUCUCGUUAUUAUUGGAGCUGCUUGUGCAGAUGCAAUAAACAUUUUGUCAACUGGACCUCCGUUUGAUCUUGAAGCUUGAGGCUGCGUCAGAGGUUUAGAUGAACUUGUGUAUUGUUCAGGCAAAGGUGGACAAAUCGGUUUGUAAGGUGGAGGCGUUACUGUUGUCGCAGAUUUCACUAGUGCUUGUGAAUAUUUCCUUUCAGCUUCAGUUAUUAUAUUUGUCCAAUCUGGAUCAAAUAGAUCAUCACUGGUUGUGUUUUCCU